UCCUGGCUCAGGAUGAACGCUGGCGGCGUGCCUAAUACAUGCAAGUCGAACGGCAGUAGCAAUACUGUAGUGGCGAACGGGUGAGUAACGCGUAGGCAACCUGCCCUCAGGAUGGGGACAACGGCCCGAAAGGACCGCUAAUACCGAAUGAAGUAUUGGAAUCGCAUGAUACUGAUACCAAAGGCGGAGCAAUCCGUCACCUGAGGAUGGGCCUGCGUCUGAUUAGGUAGUUGGUGAGGGUAACGGCCCACCAAGCCGACGAUCAGUAGCCGGUCUGAGAGGAUGAACGGCCACAUUGGGACUGAGACACGGCCCAGACUCCUACGGGAGGCAGCAGUGGGGAAUCUUCCGCAAUGGGCGAAAGCCUGACGGAGCAACGCCGCGUGAGUGAAAGAAGGUCUUCGGAUCGUAAAGCUCUGUUGUCGGGGACGAAGGGGCAGAUCAGGAAAUGGGUCUGCUUAGACGGUACCUGACGAGGAAGCCACGGCCAACUACGUGCCAGCCGCCGC
rnacentral:rRNA from 1 species